rnacentral:lncRNA from 1 species
AAAUACUGAAUGCAUACGAAAGGCAUGCUUAGCAAAGCUGUAAAAUUCUACGUCAGAAUCGGCCCCUAUGUGUUUUAUGCACUGGUUGGCCUUUUGUGUUUUGAAUAUAUAAUUACUUAGACAGAGCUUAGCUUAGAAUGCUAAUUCAACUGUAUUUACACCUGAGUUCUCACUAGACCACUUCUGUCUGAAGGAUCAGACCUCAUCAUACUACACAGUGCAGAUCCAGUCAUACUCUACACAGACCCAGUUAUUCUCUACAAAUACAGCUGUCUUUCCAGUGAGGAUGAUCAGGCCUCACCAGGAAGUCAGAACAGAGGUCAGAGGUCAAUCAUCCCCAUUAAUCUGAAGGAUCAGACCCCAUCAAACUACACAGAACAGAUCCAGUCAUACUCUUCACACAAAGAACACCAUCAUACUCUACACAGGCAAGACCCAUUUAUACUUCAAACAAACCACAGCAGGACACCAACCCAUCAUCUUUCCUCUGUCUCUCCCGACCCUGCUGUCACCAUGGACAUGACACAUCUGCUACUCCUACUCUGUGCCGGU